rnacentral:rRNA from 1 species
UACGUAGGGUGCGAGCGUUAAUCGGAAUUACUGGGCGUAAAGUGUGCGCAGGCGGCAGAGCAAGUCGAGUGUGAAAGCCCCGGGCUUAACUUGGGAAUUGCGCUCGAAACUACUUUGCUGGAGUGUGGCAGAGGAAGAUGGAAUUCCACGUGUAGCGGUGAAAUGCGUAGAGAUGUGGAGGAACACCAAUGGCGAAGGCAGCCUUCUGGGCCAACACUGACGCUCAUGCACGAAAGCCAGGGGAGCAAACGGG